rnacentral:rRNA from 1 species
GCGGCCCCGCCGAGGCUGCGGGUGUCCGACCAAGCGAUGAACUUCUGGCCGUG